rnacentral:rRNA from 1 species
CACCGCGGUUAUACGAGGGGCCCGAGUUGACAAAUGCCGGCGUAAAAUGUGGUCAAUAUACUAACCUACUAAAGCCAAACAUCUUCAGGGCUGUUAUACGCUACCGGAGACAGGAAACUCUUCCACGAAAGUGACUUUAAAUAAUAUUAUUCCACGAAAGUCGGGGAA